AUUAAUUUAAAAGCAGCUAAUUAUUUUAGAAAAGGGAAGUAGCUCUUGUGACUAUUAAAGAAUGAUUUAUUAGACGUAUAGCUUCCUGAGCUUAAAAAAGGUGACUUUCAUGAUAGUAAAUUACACCUCAACAAAGCUGUUUAAAAAUAUUAAGGUUUUCCCUCAUAGACAUUCAGCUCCAGUAGUAGCAGAAGUUUAAGGAGAAUUUUAUUCUUUUGAUAUUUUGCAAUUCUGCUUAAAUCUUAGAUUGAAGCAAUCCCCUUUUAACAAGAAUCCCCCUUUUAAAGUGAAAAGAUGCAUUCCUUUUAAUAGACUUUUCAAUAGUGUGUAAGAAGUUUUCCUGUCUUUCUCCUCAUCCCAGGCUCUCGGUUUGAUAUGGCUCAACACUUUCAUUUUUCACCAGAAGCAGAGUAAUAUUUAGUUGAAUUUAUAGGUAACAUUAAAGACAGAGCAAGGCUGAAGUCUAGUCUCCUCCUGAAAAAUAAUUCACAUGCUACAAUAGUUUUUAAAUGCUCAAGAGGCUAAGUCCCAACACAGAAGCAUAAAUUCCAGUGUUUGCAAUCAGUUUUCUCGCCUCCCAGCUGGGGGCAGGAGGUGUGGUUUCGGAAGCACAGCAGAAUCUUACCAAGGACGGAGGGAGGCAGGCAUAGGCUGGGGCUGUGCGUGCGCUCCGCUCCUGGGAACUGCUCGAGGCCUUGCUUUCCGUUCCAAGUACGUGAGCAUGCACAGAUCCAGCUGUGUUCUAAUGUAAUUUCUCAACUGAGAGUAUACUAAAAAGGCAGAGUUCACAGGUCUUUACGCUCCUGGGAUGCGCCCUGGCGCAGCGCAAACAGCAACCAUUUCUGCGCUGUGACUGUCCCACUGGGUGGAAGGGAGCCUUCUGCACAGAGACUGUCUCUACCUGUGACCCUGAAUAUGACCCUCCCCACCACUGCAGCAAGGGGGCAACGUGUGUCUCGCUGCCUCAUGGACACACCUGUUACUGUCCUCUGGGAACCACUGGGAUCUACUGCGAACAAGCUUUAUCUGUAAGUGAUCCGUCUUUUAGAAGCCAUGAGCUAUCCUGGAUGUCUUUUGCUGCCUUUCAUAUUCGAAAAAAGACACAUAUUCAGUUGCAGUUUCGUCCUCUUUCUGCAGAUGGUAUCCUAUUCUACGUUGCACAACACUUAAAAGCACAAUCAGGACUAUACAAUUGUAAAAUAAGAUAAAGACUGUGAAGGAGAGAAACCUGGUGCUAUUAAAGCACUAAUAGUACAAACCUAACCAACUCUGGAGAAUCAAGGAAGACUUCUAUGAGGAAGCGGCUUGUGAUCUGAGAUCUGCAAGAUGGGUAUGAAUUACCUUGAUGAGGUGGAAUGGAGUAAGAGGGCUCCAAGAGAACAUGCCCGAAGGUUCUGAAACAAAAGGAUAAACUCUUAACAAGGUCAGUGUUGCUGGGGUAGAGAGGAUGAGGGAAAAUGCUCUCCAGGUAAGGCUGGAUCUGAAGAGCCUCUAUAGAUACGUUCAAGAUUUUAGGUUCUUAUCCCAACAACAGUGUGCCAUUAAAGGACAGCAUAUUAUCAGCAGAUCACUUUAGCUUCAGCGUAGAUUAGAAAACCAAUGGUAAAGAAAGGAGUAGGGAGGCUCCAUCAGUAGUUCAAGUUAGAGAAGACAGUAAAUAUAAGGUAGGAGGAGAGAAGUGAACAAAAUCAAGAUGUUUACAAUGAACCAAAUGCUAAUAUUUGAUUAGAGACCUAUCUUUGAUAGAUUCUGUGUGGAUCAAAGAAAUGACAGAAUCAAGGAAUACACCCACAAUUUUGAAAAGCUGGAAUGGAUGAGUGACUGAGUUUGGGAAAACUGGAGGAGGCCAGGUGCAUGCAAGGAAGCUCACAAACUUAGACAGGAACUUUGAAGCUUAAGGUGCCUUUACAAGACCUAUGCAGGGAUCUCAGCUAACGAUCUGUAUACCUGUAGACAGAACAUGAUGCCAAGGGCAUGGCUGAAACUCUGCAGAGAGUACAAGAGGCUUUACAGUCCUACUGCCCUACUUCUCCCGCUCACCUCCCCAAUCUCUGCCAAAACAGAACCAGUGGCUUGGAGUUAAAUAUCCAAAUUACUUAUUUUUACACAUUCACCCUUAACUAAAAUCAUUAGAGAAAAACCUCACUUUAACUUAGUACAUUUAUUCAGUGCAAAAUAUUUACGAGAGAAAUCUUGUGUGACCAAUUUCUGAACAAAAGAAUACAGGAUAUAUGCAUGAACAUAUACAUGUAUUUUCAUCUGUAAAAGGAAACAAAACUCCCUAACGUAAUCACAAUCAAGACUUGUUGCCUUUUUCCCCCCAAAACCAAAACUUACUCAUGUGACCAGAAAGGGUUUUUAUGGAAGUAACAUUUUACUGUUAAUAAUUAAACUGGUUUUCUUUGUCAACAGGUGAUUUUUUAUGUAUCUCUUUAGUAAAUGGUUCUGCUCAACUUCGCUACA